rnacentral:rRNA from 1 species
CCUACGGGAGGCGGCAGUGGGGAAUAUUGGACAAUGGGCGAAAGCCUGAUCCAGCAAUGCCGCGUGAGUGAAGAAGGCCUUCGGGUUGUAAAGCUCUUUUACCCGGGAAGAUAAUGACUGUACCGGGAGAAUAAGCCCCGGCUAACUCCGUGCCAGCAGCCGCGGUAAUACGGAGGGGGCUAGCGUUGUUCGGAAUUACUGGGCGUAAAGCGUACGUAGGCGGCUUUGUAAGUCAGAGGUGAAAGCCCACGACUCAAUCGUGGAACUGCCUUUGAGACUGCUUCGCUUGAAGAUGGGAGAGGUUAGUGGAAUUCCGAGUGUAGAGGUGAAAUUCGUAGAUAUUCGGAAGAACACCAGUGGCGAAGGCGGCUAACUGGACCAUUCUUGACGCUGAGGUACGAAAGCGUGGGGAGCAAACAGGAUUAGAUACCCUGGUAGUCCACGCCGUAAACGAUGAUAACUAGCUGUCGGGGCUCUUGGAGCUUCGGUGGCGCAGCUAACGCAUUAAGUUAUCCGCCUGGGGAGUACGGCCGCAGGUUAAAACUCAAAUGAAUUGACGG